UACGGGGGGGGCAAGCGUUGUUCGGAAUUACUGGGCGUAAAGGGCUCGUAGGUGGCCAACUAAGUCAGACGUGAAAUUCCUCGGCUUAACCGGGGAACUGCGUCUGAUACUGGAUGGCUUGAGUUUGGGAGAGGGAUGCGGAAUUCCAGGUGUAGCGGUGAAAUGCGUAGAUAUCUGGAGGAACACCGGUGGCGAAGGCGGCAUCCUGGACCAACACUGACACUGAGGAGCGAAAGCCAGGGGAGCAAACGGG
rnacentral:rRNA from 1 species